AUCCGGGUUGCGGACAGUGUCUGGUGGGUAGUUUGACUGGGGCGGUCUCCUCCUAAAGAGUAACGGAGGAGCACGAAGGUUGGCUAAUCCUGGUCGGACAUCAGGAGGUUAGUGCAAUGGCAUAAGCCAGCUUGACUGCGAGCGUGACGGCGCGAGCAGGUGCGAAAGCAGGUCAUAGUGAUCCGGUGGUUCUGAAUGGAAGGGCCAUCGCUCAACGGAUAAAAGGUACUCCGGGGAUAACAGGCUGAUACCGCCCAAGAGUUCAUAUCGACGGCGGUGUUUGGCACCUCGAUGUCGGCUCAUCACAUCCUGGGGCUGAAGUAGGUCCCAAGGGUAUGGCUGUUCGCCAUUUAAAGUGGUACGCGAGCUGGGUUUAGAACGUCGUGAGACAGUUCGGUCCCUAUCUGCCGUGGGCGCUGGAGAACUGAGGGGGGCUGCUCCUAGUACGAGAGGACCGGAGUGGACGCAUCACUGGUGUUCGGGUUGUCAUGCCAAUGGCACUGCCCGGUAGCUAAAUGCGGAAGAGAUAAGUGCUGAAAGCAUCUAAGCACGAAACUUGCCCCGAGAUGAGUUCUCCCUGAGACUUUAGGUCUCCUGAAGGAACGUUGAAGACGACGACGUUGAUAG
rnacentral:rRNA from 1 species